GCACCUCUCUGGCUGGGAUUUGCCAAUAGUGACAGAACCAGGGCUGUUCCACAGUGCGUGGUCCUGGAGCAGAGGCACCCGGGCGGAUCACACCGCUGAGAUCAAGCUGGGAUUUGGUUCUUGUCCUUCACAAGCAAGAAGGUGCUUUGGCAGUUUGCCCGAGUGCUGGAAGGAGAAGGCAGCUCCGAUGCUGUUGCAGCUUCCCCGGCUGCCAGGGGAAAUAAAAGAAUCAUCUGGGYUGGAAAAGAUCACCUGUAAGAUCAUCGAGUCAGGUCUUCGUGUGUUUGUUCAUGAAAUGAAAGACGUCUGGGUGAGCCUGCUUUCCACUCCUCUGGCCUGCCUCCCGCAGCCCACAGGGGAUCUUUCGGUCUCGGGAUGACGCCUCCCUUCACAUUUCACAGCACCCAAAUACGGCAUGAGUGGGGGUGAUGUCAUGGGCAGACUUUAACCUGUGUCCUGGGUGUCAAGGAUGGCACGGGGGAAGGUGCUGGGGAAGGUGCUGGUACAGCCCUGUGCGCUGCCCAGGCUCUUCACACCGUGCUGGGGCACAGCACAUGGAGCAGGGGGCCCUGUCUGGCCRUGCUCGAGCUGUCCCCUGUCCCCAGGCUGCCACUCCCCUUCUGCUGUGGCCGGAAGACAUGAGCUCCCGAUUAAAGGAUAUUUCAACCAGACGGAGGGGCUGCGGCGGCCGGGGGAGCGCGCAGCAGGAGGGGACGGGGACAGGACGCGUGAGAGACCAGAGGAGAAGCUAAUUUACGCUGGAAUGUAAAUACAGCRGCAUCACGCUGCUCCGCGGGGCUCGUCACCCCCAUCCUGGCUCCGGAACACGGGGUAGAGCCACCCAGGACAGCUCAGGCCAUGUCCCGGCCGUGCCAAACCCGCAUCUCACCUGGGCACUGUGCAGAGGAGAGGAGGAGGAGGGUCAGGGGCUGUUGCAGCAGCCCGGUCCCGCUGUCUGCGUUGGGGCACCGCGGGUCACACAUCCACCGCAGAGGGAUGCAGUCCCAGCCGCCCUAAUCAUCCUAAGAAUCAAUAGCAGCGUCACGGAUGUGCAGAACAACAGCUCCGAGUUGAGAGGGGACCUUCUCAGCAGGAUUAACUCUGAACCCAGUGACAACACUCUAAGUAUCUGUGCUAUCUGUGUCCCCGCUGCUCAUUCUAGCAGAUAGCUCCUGCUAAUGAGCUUUACUCAACAGCACUAGAUUUGUCUGUAAGAGCAAACUCCAGGGAUCAAAAAAUAAGGUUUAAGAUGCAAAUAUUCUGUGAAAUAUCCAGAUUUAAUUUUUUUGUUGUUGYUGUUCCUWAGUUCAGGGGAUGAUUUUUAAAGGAAGCGAGGAGAGUUUCUCURGAAUGUGAGACAGAGAAAAUUUUUUUAAAAGAAAAAACCGAAUAACAUAAAAUCAUGGGAUUGGUUUUGCUUGGUUUGAGGUUUUUUUUUUAGCUUGAAACCACUGAAUUUGGAAAAGUUUCCUUCUGCUCACUCAGGGCAGUGUAAGUACAGAUGCCCCAGCCCAGGGCAGCAGGUCAGGCUCAUCCACUCCUCUCCAGUUCACAAAGUAUCCCUGGGGAAGCCGUGGGCACACUGAUGGGGGUCAGGCUGGUGGCACGGGGUGAUCCACAGCCAGCCACCUCACUGGUCAGGGCAGAGGAGGUCAGCAGAUGGGUGGUCUGUGCCAGGUGACAAAGAGAUUUGAAUAAGUCCCUAAAAUGUCCAGCCCAGGCUGUCAGUGGGCUCCUCUCCUGCCCCACCCCAGCACAAGGACCUGAGCUCAGACACAGAUGCUGGGAGAAUUCACACCCCAAGACAGGUUGCUUUUCAGUUUUCUUUAAUCUUCCUCAUGGCUUUUUUUUCUUUUUUUUUUUUUCAUUUUGAGGCAGGAGUACUAACUGCUAAGGAUGCAAAUGGAAUUUGAAUAUGAAUGAUAAGAACAGCUGUGUAUAUCUAUUAUGAAUGAACAUAAACAGAAAUGUAUAAACUGAGAUUUUGGGGCUUUUGGAAGAAUUAGUGCCUUUGUUCCUGGAUUUUUUUCCUAUCAAAGUUUGAACCAAAGCCCAUUAGCCUGGACUUUCCCGCAGCCGACCAAGCCAGGAGCUUCAUUUCGUCCUGGCUCUGAGCCAUGCUGAAUUCUCCUCAACAGCUCAGUGAGCCCUAAUCCUAACAAAUUUACCCAGAGAAGUGGGUCUCUUAUUACACAGCCUAAUUUGAAUGCUUUCCAAGGUUAAUUUCGGCUCCCUCUCCCUCUCCAAACACGCCUGCCCCUCCAGAGCCAGCUCCCGCCUUCCCCAGCUCCCCCCCGGCUCCCCGUUARCGCCAGCCCGGGGGGAGCAGCCCCCUUCACCACCGAGAUGGUUUUUAAACGAGAAAAUAAUGGGAUGUGUGUCCCUGGGUCCGGACUCUGCCUGGAGGGUUUCUUAAUGCCGAGCGACUUCCUCCGCAAAUUAAUUGCAACUUUCGUUGGGCGAAAAUAGCCCUGGAAGCCCCUUCCCCACAGGCUCUUCCGCACGUGAUGUUACUGAGUUCAUAAUCUGAUUCCUACGACUCUGUUCCUUCCUUCCCGUCCCCAGGGUGCCCGGGAGGGUGACCCACCCCACAGCCGCGCCGGGGCCGCGGAGCAUCGCUGCCUCUCGCUUUGCAACAGACUGUGCAAGAAAACCUCGGCGUGGGGAAACUGAAACCCGGCCCAGAGCAGGGAGCAGCUGUCGGAUCCAUUAGGGAAGGGAUGGAGAAGGAACCAGCYAUGCCUGGUGGAUGGAGUGCUGGAGAGGGGAGGUGCAGGGGCUGGGGAUGGCAGGAGAGGGUUAAAAGGGGUUUAGGCUGAAAGAGGGUCAAUUUAGAUUAGAGAUAAGGAAUGAGGUGUUUUACUYUGGGGGUGAUGAAACRCUGGCACAGGCU